rnacentral:lncRNA from 1 species
UCCCCAAAAGACCAUAAGUAUUUGGUUGGAUCAGGUUGCUACCAUACAACCUAGAGCAUUUCUGAUGAGCAACAUUUACCUCCCAAUCCACCCCAGCCCUCCCCAUGCCUACAGAAUGGGCUGCCUGUGGUUUGCAUUGAUCUCUGGUCCCGUGUAGCUCAUGAGAGUUUAUUUAACUGAGAACACAUAUGCAAGAGUACGGCAAACUAUGUAGGGAAAAAACCCUCCUGGGGUUUACUUCCCUCCCCAAAAAGGAGGCAGUGUAAAUGGCAGAACUCUGAGCAUCCCUGGCUCCCUGGCACACUCACUGAUCAGGCAUCAUUAGAAAAUGAGGGAUUCUGGGUCAGGGAAUCUUCCAGACAAUGGAACGCAUUCCAUUUUAAAGAGCAAAACUUAAGAACAAAACAUUUAAAGCAUCUAAUGAGAAUAUUGCUUUUCUGUUUUCAUUAAAUAAGAACACAGACGGUAUUUAACUCUUAGAAUGAUGCCGUGCUGUCCUUGCUACGGGCAUCAGUCAUUGUUCUGGGCCCUCAGGGCCUGUUGAGCUGCGAAGAGCUGUUUGCUUCAGCACUAAAUGGCCUCUGCCAGUUGACUUUUAUGGCUUCUGUAUAUGCUUUUGAUCAUUAUCCAAUAUCAUUCUAGACUCUGGGUCUUCCUCUAGCAUCUCUUCCUUGCCACCUCCUCCUCUCUUCAGACGGGCUGCUCUCCACAUAUUGUUGGCUGAAAAUCCAGGUAAUGAAGACUGGACUGGGAGAGGUAGCUGUUUAGGGUCAGUAAUUUCUUUCUUUCUUUUUUUUUUCUUGAUACCGGGUCUUGUUUUGUUGCCAGACUUGAGUGCAGUAGCAUGACCACAGCUCACUGCAGCCUCAACUUCCUGAGCUCACGGGAUCCUCCUGCCUCGGCUUCCCACGUACCACAGGAGAUCUCAACACAGCUGACCAGUGCUCACUUUGGAUGGAAAAGGAAUCGUUUUCCCAGUGGGAGAGCAAGAUACAUGGAAAAGGCAAGAGGUGGGACCAAUGAGACCGGUGUGAUACAUCAAGGGAACGCAACAGAAAUAAACUCAAUAUAUGACAGAAUUUUGUGUGUGAUAACACUGGCACUUCAAGUCAGUGGGAGGAGAAUGGAUUGCUUAAUAAUGGCCGGCCAUUUAAUUAAAACAGUUUGUAAAAUCUCGCCUUCAGACCACACCC